rnacentral:lncRNA from 1 species
GGCAGAUGAUCUGGUAACAGUGACAAGAACAAAAUCCCACAUACAACUUAAAAAAAAAAUGAAGAGGCCCUGGAACUGGAUUCAACAGAUUGAGAAGAGAAGAGGCAUGGCAUUCUCUGCAGCUAUGGCAUCAUAGCUAUUUUAGGCUGACUACAAUAGAUUUCUCAUAAAAUUCUAUGCAAAUUGCCAGAAUGCUAGUUAUUCCAUCAGUAAGAAUGAGCAUAAGUAAUAAUACUGGUGUAAAUAAUCAUCCUGUAAACGCUUUAUGGCCAAGGAGUUCAACAUGAGGUCAUGCGUUCUGAACAUCUGGUUGAAUGACUGAAUUGUGAAUUAUCAAGGUCUUGUGAAGAAGGCGAGAGCUGCCUGCUAUCUUUAGGAUUCCUGCCUCUUUGUGAAAACGUCCAAAAUAGUCAGUUUGGAUAAAUAGGAAAUUGACCUUCCAGUGCUAAAGGUGAUCUGGAAAUCAGUUUCUUCAGCCCUGUUUAGGAAAGGCAGUCAUGAAGGGAACGGUCCUCAUUGCCAGAGUGCUUGGCAGGUGGUGGUCGAUUGUAAAAUGGACCCACAUUUCUGCCAUCCUUGGAUGCGUACCCUUUUGCAAUAUAACUUUCCCACUUUUCCUGUUGAGAGGUGGAUUUUCUCUCCUGUCCUUUGAAUCUGGUCUUGGCCACAAGAUUUGUUUUCAUCAAUGGAAUAUUAGAAAAUGUGUUAUAAGAAAAUGCUUGAAAGUGCUGGCACAAUGGACCUUUCCUGAUUUUGCUACCCUUGGGAGCUUUGUAACCCCUACUGUGUGAAGAAGCCAGGGCUGGCCUCCUGGAGGAUGAGUGAUGCCUCAGUUGACAGCCGGCACCCACUGACAUCUUUCCCACCUCCAACCAUGGUGGUCCAUCUAUCCCCCAGUCAACACUCAGACUUGUGAGCAAAACCAAAAUGCUUCUUGUUUUAAGCCUCUACGUUUCAGAGUGGUUUGUGAUGCAGUGAAAGCUAACUUAUACAGCACCCUAUGGGCUGAGUGUUUGUGUCCCAAAACUCAUGUUGAAAUCCCAACGCCCAAGGCGAUGGUAGAUAUUAACAGGUGGGGCCUUUGGAAGGGGCUUAUGCCCUGAGGGUGGAGCCCUCAUGAAGGGGUUAGUGCCCUUAUAAAGGAAGCUCCAGAGGGUUUCCUAGCCCCCUCAACCAUGUGAUGACACAACAAGAACUCUGAGACCUGGAAGAGGGUCCUAACCCCACCAUGCUGGUUCCUUGAUCUUAGACUUUCAACUUCCAAUACUGUGAAAAAUACAUUUCUGAUGUUUAUAAGCCACCCAGGCUGUGGUGUUCUGUCACUACAGCCCUGACAGUGGAAGACACAGAGCAUUUUCUCUGUGAAAACACUUGGUACUUUCACUUUUAGGGGAAUGUCAGUUGCUCCCCUUAUGUAAAAUUCUUUGAGGGCUAGAAGAGUUUUUUUUGCUCAUUGUACAGACACAUCUUAUAUUUCUCACCAGGUUAUUAGGUAGCAUAGGUUGAAGAUGCAGCUUAGAUCCAGUGUAAAAAAGAAAACAAAAUGAAUAGUUAAGAAGGUAAAACCAAAGCCUCCCUCCCACUUUUCCUCCACCUGCUGGACCCUGAAUCACUUGCUCUGCUGCCACAGCCCCCAGAGCCUGUAAGCUUUCCUGUGGUGCUGAUGCCUGAGGCCAAGGGCUGCUGGCUUGGACUGUCUCUCCUCUCACCACUUCUGGGCUCUGAUGAGAUGCCAGUGACAUGCCAAUCAGGCUUCACAAGCAGUUGCUGAAGGGGCCAGAAGGAUGAUGCUCCAAGAAGUGCAGAGGGGUUGCCUCCCUUUGAAGCAAACUUUGAACCAUGGAGAGGGAGGCCGGACAGAAGUGAGCAGAUAAGUUCCCCCUUUUCCUUCCCUCUAAUGGGCUUACUGAGGAUGGUUUCUCUGCAAAUCCUGUCUGAAUACUUCCCCUGUCUUCCAGACAUCCAGCAGUGUCUCUUCCAAGGCUUGUCUUGAGCUCUGGCCCACGCAUGCAGUAAUAUACUGUAUGGGAUUGCUUCUAGCCUUCCCUACCUCACACCCCUUUGCCUCCGAUCCCCGGACUAUACCUUCCAAAUAAAGCAUCAACACUUAAUCUUAGAC